rfam:Oryza glumipatula chromosome 5, whole genome shotgun sequence.
UUUAAGUACAACCAUAAGUUUUCAUGCCCAAAUUUGAUCGUUUGUCUUAUUUAAAAUUUUUUUAUAAUUAGUAUUUUUGUUGUUAUGAGAUGAUAAAACAUAAAUAGUAUUUUAUUCGUGACUUAUGUUUUUAAUUUUUUUCAAAAAAAAAUCAAAUAAAACAGAUAAUAAAAGUUGGACGCGGAAAUCUAUGGCUGCACUUAAA